rnacentral:rRNA from 1 species
AUUGAACGCUGGCGGCAGGCCUAACACAUGCAAGUCGAGCGGCAGCACGGGAAGCUUGCUUCCUGGUGGCGAGCGGCGGACGGGUGAGUAAUGCAUAGAAAUCUGCCCGGUAGUGGGGGAUAACCUGGGGAAACCCAGGCUAAUACCGCAUACGUCCUACGGGAGAAAGCAGGGGAUCUUCGGACCUUGCGCUAUCGGAUGAGUCUAUGUCGGAUUAGCUUGUUGGUGAGGUAACGGCCUACCAAGGCAGCGAUCAGUAGCCGACCUGAGAGGGUGAUCGGCCACAUUGGAACUGAGACACGGUCCAA